rnacentral:rRNA from 1 species
AGUGAACGCUGGCGGUAGGCCUAACACAUGCAAGUCGAACGGCAGCACAGUAAGAGCUUGCUCUUACGGGUGGCGAGUGGCGGACGGGUGAGGUAUACAUCGGAAUCUACUUUUUCGUGGGGGAUAACGUAGGGAAACUUACGCUAAUACCGCAUACGACCUACGGGUGAAGGCAGGGGAUCUUCGGACCUUGCGCGAUUGAAUGAGCCGAUGUCGGAUUAGCUAGUUGGCGGGGUAAAGGCCCACCAAGGCGACGAUCCGUAGCUGGUCUGAGAGGAUGAUCAGCCACACUGGAACUGAGACACGGUCCAGACUCCUACGGGAGGCAGCAGUGGGGAAUAUUGGACAAUGGGCGCAAGCCUGAUCCAGCCAUACCGCGUGGGUGAAGAAGGCCUUCGGGUUGUAAAGCCCUUUUGUUGGGAAAGAAAAGCAGCAGGUUAAUACCCCGCUGUUCUGACGGUACCCAAAGAAUAAGCACCGGCUAACUUCGUG